rnacentral:rRNA from 1 species
AGGACGAACGCUGGCGGCGUGCUUAACACAUGCAAGUCGAACGAGAUCCAUUCAGUAGCAAUACUGAAGAAGAUCUAGUGGCGAACGGGUGCGUAACACGUGAGGAACUUGUCCCGGUCUCUGGGAUAACAGUUGGAAACGACUGCUAAUACCGGAUGACGUCGGAACUUCGCAUGGAGUACUGACGAAAGGGUUACUGGAUCGGGAGAGCCUCGCGGCCUAUCAGCUUGUUGGUGGGGUAAUGGCCUACCAAGGCAUCGACGGGUAGCUGGUCUGAGAGGAUGAUCAGCCACACUGGGACUGAGACACGGCCCAGACUCCGUACGGAGGCAGCGAGUGGGGAAUCGUUGCACAAUGGGACGAAAGCCUGAGUGCAGCAACGCCG